UGUAAUAAAAUGUGGAGUAAUUCGAG
rnacentral:piRNA from 1 species